GUUUGUUUGUUUGUUUGGCGUUUUUGGACAGAAGAAAGUUCUGUUACGUGGGAUUUUUAAGUGUGCGUGACCAUCUUUUUGACGUAGACCAGGCGAACACCACCAGAAAAUGACAAGCCACCUAAAAGUUCGGAGAGUGCUUCACAUAUUGCUCAUGGCAGUGUUAUUAAAUGGCGUUAAGAUCAAUGCAAACGCACUAAGGCAACAUAAUAACAACAAUGAAUGUCAUGUUUCUUUGGGGGAUUUUAAACAGAAGAAAUCAUUUGAGGACGAGGCUGGCAAAAACAUUACUCUUCCAUGUCUUCCAACUUUCAAGAUCAAUGAGGUUGAGGAUUCGUUAGAGUGGU